AGACGGGGGGUGCUAGCGUUGUUCGGAAUUACAGGGCGUAAAGGGCGCGUAGGCGGCUCUGCGAGUCGGGCGUGAAAUCCCGGGGCUCAACCCCGGAACGGCGCUCGAUACUGCGGGGCUGGAGACCGGAAGAGGAGGGUGGAAUUCCCAGUGUAGAGGUGAAAUUCGUAGAUAUUGGGAGGAACACCGGUGGCGAAAGCGGCUCUCUGGUCCGGUUCUGACGCUGAGGCGCGAAAGCGUGGGGAGCAAACAGGAUUAGAAACCCUAGUAGUCC
rnacentral:rRNA from 1 species